AUUUUCAGUGGCUGUUCUUCAGCUUCAAACAAGAUUAUAAAAAGACAUCACAGUGAUGCACUGGGAUUUAAUAUUUUAGCACCAACAAAGGGCAGUUUCUGACCAUAUGUUUCCUGAUAAGAAGAAACCAAUGAUAACAAGACAAAUAGUAAAACUUUAAUUAAUUUCCACUGGACUUCAUGCAAAAUAAGAACCCUAAGUGCCCAACAACAAGGAACAUGAGAUUUGACUUGGAGUGCAUCAAAGUGGCAACAGACCAGAUGAAGUCACAAUGUGUCAUCUGAUAUGUGGAAUCCAAAUCUAUGUCAAGGGUACUGUAAAAUUAUUGACACCAGGAACCACUGGCAAACAGAAGCAUAAUGCAAUGGUUCCAAAACUUAAAAGAGACAGCCAGUGUCACAGGUCUUCCUCUAAGUGGACAUCCCCCUAGGUCAACAUAUGUUGGUUGAGUGCAAGUUGCAUUUCACUGAAGUCAAUUUGUGAUGCAUGAAGCAAGAUCAACUCUCCAUAAAGUGUUACAUAAGUGGUUCCACCUUUUUGUAUACAAAGAGCAAAUAGUCCAAUCAUUGGAACCAAAUA